GACGAACGCUGGCGGCGUGCUUAACACAUGCAAGUCGAACGAUGAAGAAAAGAAUCGAAGCUUCGGCAGAAAUUCAUUUCGGAUUAGUGGCAGACGGGUGAGUAACGCGUGAGCAACCUACCUCUUACAAAGGGAUAGCCUCGGGAAACCGGGAUUAAUACCAUAUAACAUUGUGACGAAGCAUUUCGAUGCAAUCAAGGCUACGGCGGUAAGAGAUGGGCUCGCGUCCCAUUAACCGGAUGGUGAGGUAACGGCUCACCAUAGUGACGAUGGGUAACCGGCCUGGGAGGGUGAACGGUCACACUGGAACUGAGACACGGUCCAGACUCCUACGGGAGGCAGCAGUAGGGAAUAUUGCACAAUGGAGGGAACUCUGAUGCAGCGACGCCGCGUGAGUGAUGAAGGAAUUCGUUUCGUAAAACUCUGUUCUAUGGGAAGAAAAGGACUGUACCAUAGGAGAAAGCUCCGGCUAAAUACGUG
rnacentral:rRNA from 1 species